rnacentral:lncRNA from 1 species
GAACAUUCUACAAAAACAGCUGACCUAUACUCACCAAAAUGCCAAGGUCAUGACAGGCAAGCAAAGAUUGAAGAAAGCUUCCAGAUUAAAGAAGACUGAGGAAACUCAACAGCCAAAUGCUCUCAGCCUCCUGUGUGCAAGCAGAGUUGCUAUGGUGCCAUCGCUUAUACUUGCAUCUGACACUUCUACGUUAGAGACCACCAAUCAAAAUCCUCAGUGGGCUUACGAGCAGAAUCCAGACCCAUCUCAGCCCCCAUCCCCUCCCACCUACCAUCUGGAUCUCCCUGCAGUGAUGGGAGCAGCAGGAGAAAGCAGAAAGAAACAUCUCCCCGCCCCCACCCCCUCCACCAUUAACUGCUGCAACCACCAGAAGCAGGAUCUAGAAAAAGAAGCCCCGAAGUCAUGAUUUUCCUCCAUUUUCCGCACCUUGCUGACCUGACAAGAACUUUAAGAGAUCCUGGAAGCCAGCUGCCAUGCUGUGAACUGCUCUAUGGAGAGCCUCAUGUGGAAAGGAACUGAUGUCUCCAGCCAACAGCCACAUGAAUGAAUUUAGAAGUGGAUCUUCCAUCAUUUGAGACUUGAGAUGACAGCAGUCCCAGACAAGCCCUUAACUGCAGACUUGUGAGAGGCCCUGAGCCAGAGAGUAGCACAAGUAUCAGUUUUUCACUCAGUGGAGACAGCCGUCCACAAUUGCAGUUUCACCUCCAGUUUGACUGAGCAUUUCACCCAGCUUUGAUCAUCUGCGGUCAGGAAGGAAUUCGCUUCUCCUUUGGAUCUCUCCCGGAGGAGAGAAAACAAUAAACUUCCCACCAGCUUUCAAGCCAAGGAUUUCUCAUUAGCCACAGCUUCAGGCCGUUCGUUCUUGGCCCACACCCAGGAUGCCUCUGGAUACAUCAGGCUAAAGCCUUGUUCUCUCUUCACCUCCAAGAUUGCUGGAUCACUGGGCUGUGAGCUGCUCUGAUAUUCUGUCCAUGUUCUUGGAACAUCAUAAUAGUGCCUCUUCACUGAAGAGUCAGAAUAAGACGAAGAGAGAAAAAAAGCACUUACAACUUAAAAUAUAGAAGCCAUUUUAAUUGUUCUUAAACUCAGUGAAUAGUAGUAGUUAUUUCAAUGAGCUUAGGGUUCUUAUCUCUCCUGGACCGUUAGCAGAAAAUUGAUGUCUUCAAAAACAUUGAAGCCGUCAUAUGCAAGAUUCAGAGAAAACAAAACCAAACCAACACAGUUGAAUCGAUUCAAAGCAAAUUAACUCCUAAUUAACCCAGACAAACGAAAGGUUUUCUACCUUUGGUAGAAAAGAACUAAAUGAGGCCCCAUCACUGUAACAGGUUUCCUGGCAUCAGAGAAGGAAGUAGGACGGAAAGCUGAGAAAUCCAGCUCUGACUUGAAGUGAGAAGUUCAAAGUCAGCCUGAGCUUGCACAGAAGUAUAUGCCAUAGCUUCAGCUAAAAUCACAGAGACUUCUCUUCCUGAAGAGUCUAAGCCAUUCAACAAAACACAUACCAGGACGGUGAACUCACCUAAAUAGGAAGACCUUGGAACAAGCUCCUCAGCUAGUAGGAUUCAUCGCCUGAUUGGACCCAAAGCUGUUCCACAAUUUGGAUUGAAAUAAGCAAUUUUUAACCAGUAGGUCAUUAAUGUGGUUACAGGGUUGACUGAAUUGACCUACCAAUUCAACCAAGUAGGUUAGUAGGAAAUUAGUCUAAAUAUUAAAAAAUUAAUUGUGAAGAAGCAUUUUCCUUACUGAUUGCAUAAACCUCCUCAUUAACUCAUUGUCUUCACCAAUUGUGAUUGUAUACUUUCAAGUGUUUCAUUCAUGCAUUAUUCUACUGUUAUAAUAACAAUAAUACAGUUAACUAAUUAACAGAUUGGAUUGGGGAGACAAAAGAAUGGAAGGAGGGUGAGAGAUAAGGGUUGGCAAUUCAGUUUUAACAUUAAUUACUACUUAGCAUUUGAGAUAUCAUAAAUCUACAACUAAUUCAUAUUUAUGAGUUACAAAGUGUAUUUGCUUUAGCAGGAAGGCAAAACCAAAUGUCUCUAAGAUAUGCUGAAUUGUUCUGUCACUUAUCUGUUUUGUUGAAAUCAUUAAUAUGCUUUGAAGCCAAAUGUAGCAGAUGUAUAAACUCUCAGAUAUUUCUCAUUCUUCCUAAUAUUAGCUCUUGAUACAUCACUGAUUUGCAAAAUGAAUAUUCAUUUCUAAUACUGUAAACUUAUCAGUGUCAUGAUCCCAUUCCUUCACACUCAGAUAUUUAAAAUGUCUGAAGAAGUUCAAGAGAUUAUUUAGACCAACUCCUCAUGGCAUAGAUGGCGAACAUGAGGUUUUAAGAGGUUUUGAGAGGCACUAAAUUCCUUGUCCAAGAUAAUGGACGUUAUUGUGGCAGAUGAUUCUAGAACUCUCAGCUGCUGAGAGAGUAACUAUUAGUCCUGAGGGCAUGCCAUAACUUAAUGCCUGAGGCU